rnacentral:tRNA from 1 species
GUCCCGGUAGCUCAGCUGGCAGAGCACAUGGCUGUUAACCAUGGGGUCGGAGGUUCGAGUCCUCCCCGGGACG